rnacentral:rRNA from 1 species
UAAGGAAUAUUGCACAAUGGGCGAAAGCCUGAUGCAGCAACGCCGCGUGCGCGAAGAAGGCCUUCGGGUCGUAAAGCGCUUUUCUGGUUGAAGAGGAAGGACAGUAAACCAGGAAUAAGUGUCGGCUAACUACGUGCCAGCAGCCGCGGUAAAACGUAGGACACGAGCGUUAUCCGGAUUUACUGGGCGUAAAGGGCAAGCAGGCGGACUGUUAAGUCAGACGUGAAAGCUCCGGGCUUAACCGGGAGAG